rnacentral:rRNA from 1 species
AGCGGGAAAAGCUCAAAUUUAAAAUCUGGCAGCCUUCGGUUGUCCGAGUUGUAAUCUAGAGAAGUGUUAUCCGCGCUGGACCGUGUACAAGUCUCCUGGAAUGGAGCGUCAUAGAGGGUGAGAAUCCCGUCUUUGACACGGACUGCCAGGGCUUUGUGAUGCGCUCUCAAAGAGUCGAGUUGUUUGGGAAUGCAGCUCAAAAUGGGUGGUAAAUUCCAUCUAAAGCUAAAUAUUGGCGAGAGACCGAUAGCGAACAAGUACCGUGAGGGAAAGAUGAAAAGAACUUUGGAAAGAGAGUUAAACAGUACGUGAAAUUGCUGAAAGGGAAACGCUUGAAGUCAGUCGCGUUGUUUGGGAAUCAACCUUGCUUUUGCUGGGCGUACUUUCCAGAUGACGGGCCAGCAUCAAUUUUGACCGUUGGAUAAAGGCUGGAGGAAUGUGGCAUCUUCGGAUGUGUUAUAGCCUCUGGUUGUAUACAACGGUUGGGAUUGAGGAACUCAGCACGCCGCAAGGCCGGGUACUUGUACCACGUUCGUGCUUAGGAUGCUGGCAUAAUGGCUUUAAUCGACCCGUCUUGAAACACGGACCAAGGAGUCUAACAUGCCUGCGAGUAUUUGGGUGGAAAACCCGAGUGCGUAAUGAAAGUGAAAGUUGAGAUCCCUGUCGCGGGGAGCAUCGACGCCCGGACCAGACCUUUUGUGACGGAUCUGCGGUAAAGCAUGUAUGUUGGGACCCGAAAGAUGGUGAACUAUGCCUGAAUAGGGUGAAGCCAGAGCUCUGGUGGAGGCUCGUAGCGAUUCUGACGUGCAAAUCGAUCGUCAAAUUUGGGUAUAGGGGGCGAAAGACUAAUCGA